UAAUGAGCGAUGACGAAGAGUAGUAACUGGAUCAGGUACUUUAGAGAGCUGAUGGUUGGUGGGAAUCAGUGUAACUGUACCAGUGAAUGGACUUCCGAGCUUCCAGACCGAACCCUUAAGGCAGUAGGCUUUGGCGAAAUGGCCUUAUCGUUAUAAAAGGCAGGCAUUAAGCAUUCAAUGCUCGAUGCUGUUAAGUGAGCUGUUUUACAGCUAAUUAAGGUGGCACCACGGGUCUCUCGUCCUUAUU
rnacentral:ncRNA from 1 species